GCCUCUGUCAUCCCAUAUCCCUGUGUAAAUUAAACAAUUAAUUAUUAAUUUCCCACUGAUCACAUCAUUAUAUUAACCAUUUCAAAUUAAACCAUAAUAAAAAAAUAAUUUUGUACGAAUAUUUAAGACCGUCUAUUAAUAUUUUUGUUGAUAUUCUAUUAAUACUAUUAUAUUAAUUAAUUGUUUCAUUAUUAUUUUUAUUAAAAAAAAUAUUAGAAAAUAUUGUGAAAUAAACGGAGUACAAGGUAAAAUUAAAAUAAUUUUUUU
rnacentral:misc_RNA from 1 species